UGGAGCAUGUGGUUUAAUUCGUAUGAUACGCGAGGAACCUUACCUGGGCUCGAACGUAAGAUGACUGUAGGUGAAAGCUUACAUCUCUUCGGAGCAUUUUACGAGGUGCUGCAUGGUUGUCGUCAGCUCGUGCCGUGAGGUGUCGGGUUAAGUCCCAUAACGAGCGCAACCCUACCUUAGUUGCCAUCAGGUAAUGCUGGGGACUCUAAAGGAACUGCCUACGCAAGUAGUGAGGAAGCGGGGAUGACGUCAAAUCAGCACGGCCCUUACGUCCAGGGCUACACACGUGCUACAAUGGCCGAUACAGAGGGCAGCUACCUGGUGACAGGAUGCAAAUCUCCAAAGUCGGUCUCAGUUCGGAUCGGAGUCUGCAACCCGACUCCGUGAAGUUGGAUUCGCUAGUAAUCGCGCAUCAGCCAUGGCGCGGUGAAUACGUUCCCGGGCCUU
rnacentral:rRNA from 1 species